AACGAAGGCUGGCGGCAUGCUUAACACAUGCGAGUCGAACGAGACCUUCGUGCUUGGUGGCGCCCGGGUGCGUAACGCGUGGGAACCUGCCCUUAUGUUCUGCAUUACUCCCCGGAAGAGGUGCUAAUACCGGAUAAUGUUUCCGGACCAAAGCUUUAUCGCCUUUGGAUGGGGCCGCGUUGGUUUAGCUAGUUGGUAGGGUAAAAGCCUACCAAGGCGUAGAUCCAUACCUGGCCUGUGAGGCGGCACAGCCACACUGGGACUGAGACACGGCCCAGACUGCUGGGAGAGGCAGCAGAGGGGGAUAUAGGAGCAUGAGCGAGAUCCUGAGCCAGCAAGGCCGGGAGGGUGGUGUAGGCGUUAGGGUUGUAAAGCGCUUUUGACGGGGAUGAUUAUGACAGUACCGGGAGAAUAAGCGCCGGCUAACUACGUG
rnacentral:rRNA from 1 species